CUAAGGGCACAUGGCGGAUGUCUUGGCGUCGAGAGGCGAUGAAGGACGUGGUAACCUGCGAUAAGCCCGAAGGAGCCGGUAACAGGCUUUGAUCUUGGGAUUUCCGAAUGGGGCAACCCACCCUGCGGGGUACUCAAUACUGAAUGUAUAGGUAUUGAGAGCGAACCUGGUGAACUGAAACAUCUAAGUAGCCAGAGGAAAAGAAAGCAAACGCGAUUCCCUUAGUAGCGGCGAGCGAACAGGGACCAACCGACAGACUCACGAACCACCUGGAAAGGUGGACCAAAGAAGGUGACAGUCCUGUAAUGAUGAGUCGGCCAGCCCACGAGUAGUACGGAGCCCGUGAAACUCCGUGCGAACAUGGGGGGUCCACCCCCUAAGGCUAAAUACUCCUCGACGACCGAUAGUGAACCAGUAAGGUGACUGAACGAUGAAAAGCACCCCGACAAGGGGAGUGAAAAGUACCUGAAACCAUGUGCCUACAAGCGGUGGGAGCCUUCGGGUGACCGCGUGCCUUUUGCAUAAUGAUCCUGCGAGUUGGUCUUCAUAGCUAGGUUAAGCAGUAACGCUGCGGAGCCGUAGGGAAACCGAGCCUGAAAGGGCGUUGAGUUGUGGGGACCAGACGCGAAACCUUAGUGAUCUACCCAUGGGCAGGUUGAAGGCCGGGUAACACCGGCUGGAGGACCGAACUCACUAACGUUGAAAAGUUAGGGGAUGACCUGUGGGGUGGACUAAAAGUGUAAUCAAACUGGGAGAUAGCUCGUUCUCCGCGAAAUGCCUUUAGGGGCAGCCUCGUGUUACAUCCAGCAGGGGUAGAGCACUGACUCGGGCUGGGGGGUAUUGCACCUACCCACCUGAAUCAAACUCCGAAUACUGUUGGACUCUGUCACGGGAGUGAGCCCAUGGGAGAUAAUUUCCAUGGACGAAAGGGAAACAACCCUCACCACCGGCUAAGGUCCCCAAACGGGACUCAGUUCUUAAGGUAGUCAAGAUGCAGUGACAGCCAGGAUGUUGGCUUAGAAGCAGCCACCAUUUAAAGAGUGCGUAACAGCUCACUGGUCGAGGAUUUUGGCGCCGAUAAUGAUCGGGAAUCAAGUUUCGUACCGAAGCCGUGGACGAAAGUGGUAGCGGAGCGUUGCUGUCAGCGCUGAAGGCGUCUCGUGAGGGACGUUGGAGCGGCAGCAAGUGAAUAUGCAGGAUUGAGUAACGAUAAACGGAGUGAGAAUCUCCGUCGCCGAAAGCCUAAGGGUUCCUGGGGAAGGGAAAUCCGCCCAGGGUAAGGCGGGACCUAAGACGAGCCCGACAGGGGUAGUCGAUGGACAGCCGGUUAAUAUUCCGGCCCUCACGGUGAGAUCAAAGCGAAGUGCGGAUUCGAAAGCUACACGGGACAGUGAAGCGUCCGGCAGUGGGUGGAAGAGUUCCAAGAAAAGCUUCGUGGGCAAUCCGUGACCCGUACUAAAACUGACACAGGUAGGCGUGGUGAAUAACCUCAGGCGCUCGAGAGAAUGGUUGUGAAGGAACUAGGCAAAUUGACCCCGUACGUUCGCAAUAAGGGGGCCCUACCGGAAACGGAGGGCGCAGAGAAAAGGCGCUGACGACUGUUUAUCAAAAACACAGCACUGUGCAAACUCGAAAGAGGACGUAUACAGUGUGACGCCUGCUCGGUGCCAGAAUGUCAAGGAAGUAGGUUAGCUCCGGCGAAGCUUACAACCGAAGCACUGGUAAACAGCGGCCGUAACUAUGACGGUCCUAAGGUAGCGAAAUUCCUUGUCGGGUAAGUUCCGACGCGCAUGAAUGGCGUAACGAUUGGCGCACUGUCUCCACAACCAACUCGGUGAAAUAGUAGUGGCGGUGAAGAUGCCGCCUUACCGUGGCAAGACGGAAAGACCCCGUGGACCUUUACUGUAGGCUUGUAUUGAUCACGAUUCUGUGAUGCGUAGGAUAGGUGGGAGGCUUUGAAGUCAGGAUUUCGGUCCUGGUGGAGCCGUUGGUGAAAUACCACUCUUUGCAUUGUUGUGAUCUAACCCUGACUCCCAUGAAGCUGGGCAGGGAACCGUGCAUGCCGGGCAGUUUGACUGGGGCGGUCUCCUCCUAAAGUGUAACGGAGGAGCACAAAGGUCGGCUCAACGCGGUUGGAAACCGUGUUUCGAGUGUAAGAGCACAAGCCGGCUUUACUGCGAGACAAACAGGUCGAGCAGUUACGAAAGUAGGUUCUAGUGAUCCUGCGAUCCCGUGUGGAAGGGUCGUAGCUCAUCGGAUAAAAGGUACCCCGGGGAUAACAGGCUUAUCGCUCCCGAGCGUCCAUAGCGGCGGAGCGGUUUGGCACCUCGAUGUCGGCUCAUCGCAUCCUGGGGCUGUAGGUGGUCCCAAGGGUUGGGCUGUUCGCCCAUUAAAGCGGUACGCGAGCUGGGUUCAGACCGGCGUGAGCCAGGUCGGUCCCUAUCUGCCAUGGUCGUAGCAACGUUGAUAGGAUCUUUCCUUAGUACGAGAGGAUUGGGAAGGACCAACCCCUGGUGCGCCAGUUGGCCCGCUCGGGCCACAGCUGGGUAGCUAAGUUGGGCAGGGAUAACCGCUGAAAGCAUCUAAGCGGGAAGCCCCCCUAGAGAUGAGCGUUGCAUUGAGACCCCCGGAAGACUACCGGGUUGAUAGGCCGCACGUGCAAGGGCAGAGAUGUCCUCAGCGAAGCGGUACUAAUGGUCAAGUCCCGUGAUC
rnacentral:rRNA from 1 species